CCUACUUAGUCGGGCGGAGCGGGAAAAUUUUGCACGUUAGUGAAAUAACGUUAUUCCAAGGAUAAGAUAUAUCUAUGAGUUACCAUUAAAGUUUUAUCUAAAGCAGUAUGACAUUUCACGAUUCCAGCAUCCCUUUAAAUGUAUGCAAAGACAUUCUUGAUGACAAAAGGCUCCAGUCUCCAUAGAGCAUGGUGUCUUCUAGGUGAACUGACUUUACCUGGCUGGACAUGGGGGGGAUGUAUUAUUAAUAUGAAAUAGGAAAUAACAGCUGCAGGAAUAUUCCUUCAUCUCAUGCAACUGUGCAAGACAGCAAGUUUCAGGAUGAAUGGGUUGUGAAGUGCCAGAGACAGGACAGCCAUGGUAAACAGGGAACUGGACUUUUUGCAGCUCAUACACAUGGUUGGACAGUUGUUGUACAUGGUGAAGUGUCUCUGUAGUGGCCUGCUUGAUGUGGUCAGUUUGGGACGAAAUUCAUUGAAUCCAAAGUGGAGCAGUGGUCAUUUCUUCCCUUGGAUGACCCAUUGUC